rnacentral:rRNA from 1 species
CAUGAUUACGCCAAGCUAUUUAGGUGACACUAUAGAAUACUCAAGCUAUGCAUCCAACGCGUUGGGAGCUCUCCCAUAUGGUCGACCUGCAGGCGGCCGCACUAGUGAUUGUAGUCAUAUGCUUGUCUCAAAGAUUAAGCCAUGCAUGUCUAAGUAUAAGCAAUUAUACCGCGAAACUGCGAAUGGCUCAUUAUAUAAGUUAUCGUUUAUUUGAUAGUACCUUACUACUUGGAUAACCGUGGUAAUUCUAGAGCUAAUACAUGCUAAAAAUCCCGACUUCGGAAGGGAUGUAUUUAUUAGAUUAAAAACCAAUGCCCUUCGGGGCUCACUGGUGAUUCAUGAUAACUCCUCGAAUCGCAUGGCCUUGUGCCGGCGAUGGUUCAUUCAAAUUUCUUCCCUAUCAACUUUCGAUGUUUGGGUAUUGGCCAAACAUGGUUGCAACGGGUAACGGAGGGUUAGGGCUCGACCCCGGAGAAGGAGCCUGAGAAACGGCUACUACAUCCAAGGAAGGCAGCAGGCGCGCAAAUUACCCAAUCCCGACACGGGGAGGUAGUGACAAUAAAUACUGAUACAGGGCUCUUUUGGGUCUUGUAAUUGGGAUGAGUACAAUUUAAAUCCCUUAACGAGGAACAAUUGGAGGGCAAGUCUGGUGCCAGCAG